UACGAAGGGGGCUAGCGUUGCUCGGAAUUACUGGGCGUAAAGCGCACGCAGGCGGUCUGUCAAGUCGGAUGUGAAAUCCCCGGGCUCAACCUGGGAACUGCAUUCGAAACUGGCAGGCUAGAGUCUUGUAGAGGGGGGUAGAAUUCCAGGUGUAGCGGUGAAAUGCGUAGAGAUCUGGAGGAAUACCGAUGGCGAAGGCGGCCCCCUGGACAAAGACUGACGCUCAGGUGCGAAAGCGUGGGGAGCAAACAGG
rnacentral:rRNA from 1 species